GAUGAACGCUGGCGGCGUGCCUAAUACAUGCAAGUCGAGCGAACAGAUGAGAAGCUUGCUUCUCUGAUGUUAGCGGCGGACGGGUGAGUAACACGUGGGUAACCUACCUAUAAGGCUGGGAUAACUCCGGGAAACCGGGGCUAAUACCGGAUAAUAUUUUGAACCGCAUGGUUCAAUAGUGAAAGACGGUUUCGGCUGUCACUUAUAGAUGGACCCGCGCCGUAUUAGCUAGUUGGUAAGGUAACGGCUUACCAAGGCGACGAUACGUAGCCGACCUGAGAGGGUGAUCGGCCACACUGGAACGGAGACACGGUCCAGACUCCUACGGGAGGCAGCAGUAGGGAAUCUUCCGCAAUGGGCGAAAGCCUGACGGAGCAACGCCGCGUGAGUGAUGAAGGUCUUCGGAUCGUAAAACUCUGUUGUCAGGGAAGAACAAAUUUGUUAGUAACCGAACAAGUCUUGACGGUACCUAACCAGAAAGCCACGGCUAACUACGUGCCAGCCGCCGCGGUAA
rnacentral:rRNA from 1 species